UUUUACCCAGCCAUAAAUAUCUCUGGCAGUCUUAACAGAGCAGGUCAAAGAGGCAGAGGAAGAUGUGAAGAACAAAGUCUUUCCUCAACUCUCACUCCUGAAAAGAUAGUGAAGAACGGAGAUCUGGCAUCCACCUUGCUUCCUUUCUAAGGGGAAAGAGCUUUGGACUCUGAUUCACCACACCUGUUUCCAGUUUCAUUUCGGUUGCAAACAAACUGUGUAAUCUCGUGCAACAUGGCCAACCUGCAAAGCUCAGAUCUCCCCUCAGUCAAGGAACACUUUACACUCUUCCCACACAAUUUUUCCCAGGACAUAAAGGUGUUGGGGAAAAGAAGCAUAAAAAAUAUUUGUAAAAUGGUAAUAGGAACAACUUCAAAGGACUGUAGCACGGAAUAGAAACCCCAAGCAACUUGUCUUUGUUCAAGAUCAUUCUCUGCUACUCCAGGCAUGUCCUUACCAAAUCAAACAAUUGCCUUCUUCAACAUCAGGCCCCCACCAACUUCCUGCCUCAACUAUCACCACCACCCCCUUUACCAGCUGCAUGUCUCACCCCUUCCUUUGGAUUCCUGUGAGCUUCCAACACACUGCACCAACCCCUUUAGGGCAUGGUUCACACUGUUUUGUAAUUUGCCCCAUUAACUUGUCUGUCUCCUCUACUAGAUUGUAUCCCAUGUAUUCAUCUUUGUAUCUCCAAUGUCUACUGUAAUUGUCUCCUGAUAGGCGAGAAUCU